GAUAGGGUAUUUGACACACUUACCGAUUAUAAAAUCAUAUUUUUACCGUUCAAUUUGUAGUUCUAUAUGAGUAGAUCAUUUCUACAAAUUUUUAGAAAAUUUGGUGAUCAUUAAGUCACCCAAAAGUUUGAUUUAUUUUUAAUGAUGUUGAACGGUCCAGGUUUAACAUAAAAUGUUUAAGUUUUGUUUUAAUAUCAGUCAUCUAAACUCAUUAAAAAAUACAGCUAAUGAUGUGGGCCUAUCCUUAGAUUUAUAAAAAAGCUAAAGGGAUCCCUGUAAUCAAACCAUCCAAGCUCACUUCUAUAUAUACCAUAGAAGUAGUGAGAGGUUCCCUGUAAAUAGUUAUUGUUUAGGUAAUUUUAGUUUUAUUAGUUGUAAUUACUUCAUAUAUGACAAUUUUACAAGUAUGCGUACAAAUGAUUUUUUUUUUUGAAAAUAAUAAAUCAUUCAUUAUACGAAAGCCAUAAAUGACGAGAUUAGAAUGACCAUAGGGAUCACAAUAAUAUCAUUAUAUUAGACAUUUUGCUCACUUAUUGUGAGCUUGAUACAAAUCGACAACCGAUUGAAUAAAAUCCUCAGAGUCCUUUCAUACUUCAAAGCCGAGACAUACUCAUCAGUCAAUACCACUUGUCUCUCUUGGGCAUUAUUCAAAUCUGCUUUAGCCUUUGACAAAGCAUAUGACAGUUCUUUAUUGGAAACUCUAAGAAUCCUUGCUUCUUCUUUAGCCUCCUUAAGAUCAGCUACAACACUUCUAAUUAAACCCUGCUGAUCUUCGCACUUCUUCUCCAUAAUCGCUUCAAGACGAGCAACAGAUCUAAUGGUCUUUUCCAUCUUCUCUUUCUCCUUCUACAAAGCUAAGACAUCCUUUUGAGCACGAGCUACGCCUUGUUCAGCCACACGAAGACGUGAAAUAACUGAAGGAUCUAGCUCGAGCACAUCACUUUUCAUAAGUCCCUAGAGCAAGUAAACCAAGUCUGGAAGAACAACAUUACACUUCCGAUGGAAAACUUCCUCGCCGGGUGAAAUGUUCUCCUUCACAGGCAGAGGCUCACCAAUCAGCGCUGCCGCAAUUUUACGAACGAGAAGGUCAGUGCACUUUGAAAACUCAUGAGCAGAUUCAGGGACAUCUUCUCGAACGGCUGGAAUAUCUGGAAUCUCCGGAGGAGUCAAUCUUUCAAAAAGAUGGCGUUUGGGUUUCCUUCUAUUGUUCCCCUACAACCUCUAAUAAUUGUUCCCUCAACGGCCUUGGAUCAACUCAUUUUUCGUUUCAACCCAAUCCGUUCAAGCACUUUCGGAUCCAUUGGUUGAGCUAUCUGCCGAAGUUCCACCUUCAAAAAGUUGGCUCGAUUCGGAAGAAGAGGCGAAUAGAGAGACAUGCAAGCCAGAUGAUGUCACUCCAGAUGAUGUCACUAACACAUCCCCUUCGUUUGAUCCAUACUCGUCAAUACAUUACCAGAAGAAAGACUUUAGCCGACGAAAAUAAAAAAACCAGGCUGACGAAUUAUUUUUUUGUUGGCUAAAGUGGACUUUAGCCGACAAAAUUUCCCUUCGUCGGCUAAUUAAAAAUUUUCGUCGGCUAUGGUCAACUUUAGCCGACGAAAUUAAAACUUCGUCGUCUGAAUAAUUUUUUUCGUCGGUUAUAGUCUGUGAACUUUAGCCGACGAAAUUUUUAAAAAUUUAGCCGACGAAAAAUAUAAUUUCGUCGGCUAAAGUGCCUUAAUUUCGUCGGCUAAAGUAUUUAAAUAUUUGCAGAUCUGGACAACAACUCAUCUGGAAAAAAAAACUAUACGUAGAACCUUCAAACGUAAAAACGUCGUGAAAUAAGAUAUGACCAGAAUGGUGAAAUACGUCUACAGUUGAAAAAUCACGGUAUUCUGGUAAAGUCUCGGUGCCGAUAGUUGCGGUCAAUGCAAUUUACCCUUAUUAUUCACUAUGCUGCAGAUUUGGUUUUUGGUGUCCGAUUGACUAUUGUGAUACCUUUCCGGAAGCGUAACGGCCCUACGAGUUAGACUCAUCGCUAAUGCCAUGAUGGAUGGGCAUUUUUGGCCAUCCGAGUCCGUUUAGGGCUUCAAAAUGCAGUUUUCUUAUUUCCGAUUAGAGUUGACCGUUUCGAUCGAGCCCUUAACGUUGUCGAAUCCAGUUGAAUUUGUUACCAUAGACAUCUUUCGUCAUAAUGAUCAUAUCGGACGGUCAAAUUUUGGUUUGUAAAUUUUAGUCAUCGGAAUCACAACGUGUCUACUAUUUACCGUUAUUAUUCCCUAUGAGGAGCCCUAUCGUCGGAAGGUAAAUGUCUCAAAAUUUUUAUAUGGGCAGUUGCGUCUAAUCUACGUGAGAGUUUUUUGUGUGGAAGGUUUGACCAAACCACGUAAUAUAGAGGGAGAUAUGAGCGUUUUCGUGUGAUAAGUGACGAUGGAUUAGGGUUACUUGUUUCGAUCAAGUCCUUAACGUUGUCGGAUCCAGUUGAAUUUUUUACCAUAGACAUCUUUCUUUAUAAUGAUCAUAUCUGACGGUCGAAUUUUGGUUUGUGAAUUUUAGUCAUCGGAAUCACAACGUGUCUACUAAUGUUGUAUAACUUGUUUAGUAGGUUAUACAACUUUGUGAACCAACUCUAUAUAGGAAGCAAAAUUAUCAAAAAUCUCGUGAAAUAAGAUGUGUUCAGAAUGGUGAAAUACGGCUAUAGUUCAAAAAUCACGUAAAUUUGGUAAAGUCCGGUGCCGAUAGUAGCGGUCAACCCUAUUUACCGUUAUUAUUCCCUAUGGGGAGGCCCUAUCGUCGGAAGGCAAAUGUCUCAAAAUUUUUAUAUAGGAGGUUGCGUCUCAUCUACGUGAAAGUUUUUCGUGUGGAAGGUUUGACCAAACUACGUAAUAUAGAGGGAGAUAUGAGCGUUUUCGUGAAUUUAUAGACUUUAGCCGACAAGAUAUUAAAAAGUCGUCGGCUAAGGUCAAAAUUUUGGGCGGUAAAAAUUUUCAAAGGACUUUAGCCGACGAAAAUAUUUGAAAAGUCGUCGGCUAAGGUCAAAAAUUUUUGGGCGGUAAAAAUUUUCAAAGGACUUUAGCCGACGAAAUAUAUGAAAAGUCGUCGGCUAAAAGUCGAAAAAUUUUCAAAAAUUUUCAAACCAAAAAUUUUUUUGGACGGUUACAACCAAAAAUUUUUCAAAAGAGUUUAGCCGACGAAAAUAAAGAAUUUCGUCGGCUAAAGUUCUUUAUAUAGGAGUUUUACCGAAGGUGGAUGGUAAGAAGUCUAUUUCGCCUGCCAAAUUUUCUUCUCUGCCUAGCUCCGUCGUCAAGCCACCGGAGACCGCCACACUUGUCUCAAAAGCUUCGCCGUCGUCUCUACAGCUUCGCCGUCGUCUCUACUUCAUUGCUGGAUAGGUGGUGCAUCGAGUGGCGCCGCCGUGAGAGAUAAAUCGAGCUCCAAAACUCCGCCGGUUCGGAUUCGGUGUCGAUCGAAUUUCUCCUUCCUCAUGUCACCAUUUGGUGAGUUCUAUAUAUGGAUAAGUUGAGUUUGAUUAGUACUACAUUCCCCUAGAAUUUGGUAGCUCGAUUCGGUGUGUGUGAGGAGAAUCGAAGAUUUGAAGUUUUUAGGGUUUAAAAUUGGGGAUUUUUAUAUUUUGAUUCAAUUGACCUGUUUAG
rnacentral:lncRNA from 1 species